AUAAAGCUAGGACAGUUUAGUUUUUCUUUCCGAGUGUAAAAUGCAUCCAGCAGCUUUUUGUGUGCGGAAACCCUGACCUCGGUAGCAGACCUGACCUCUGAAGAAACACUGUAGUCUCCAACAGAUGUUCAAUCUAUACGUAAAGCCAGAAGUGAGAAGUGACGCAGUGCAGCGUCGAAGCAGGCAGAAGAUCCAUCUUUCCAACUAAAGUGUCGAACCUUUCUCAGCAUCUUUCUCUCUCCCUCUAUAUCUUUCUGCUUCUCAGCUUCUGCUAAUCACCUGAGCAACAACCCUGCUGUGUUCAACUUCUGGCAGGGCAAGCAUAAGGCUCGGGACCUCUAUUUAACAACCAAUCUGGAAGUGUGCCAGCCUUGAUUAUGUAUUCAUCUCUUCUGAGCACCUUAAACCCAGGACUUCUUGGCCUCAUAAUAGACCAUGUCCUUCUCAAUAUACUCCUCAGAGAAAAGCUGUGAACAACAGGAACCAUCCUACAGUGUUCAUAAACAUACAGAAAGCUCUUAACCUAUUAGGAAUGCAUCUAUAAAUUCCUGCCAAAAUUGGCUUUCAAGUAUUCUCAUCAUUCAGGAAGAAAGGACAACAACCAUCCAGUGAGGGAAUUAAAUAUCUGUGAUACAGCAGAAGUUUCAACACACUGACAGGAUCAAACAAAGUCUGAACAAAUGCAAUACUCCACUGACAACUAGGAUAACCUUGUCACCCAUUCCUCAUUUCAGCAAAGGUAUGUCAAUUCUGGUGCAGUCACCAUGACAAGCCAGAGGGCCCAGAAUGAGGUUCACGGGCAAACAGAACAUAUUUUACUUUCUAUUUGGCAAAGAUGCUGCAGCCACUGUAGAGGUUAUGCCAGCUGCACUAUCAAACUCCCUCAGCACUGCCAAAUGUAACUAACCGACUGAAUUUAUCCAAAUUGUGUUGAUCAGGAUGUUAGGUCUUCUUUCUGACCGAGUCAAGGUUGACAUGUAUAAAAUAAAAAAACUAUUAGCAUUAACAGAAUGCACUGAUGUCCUGCAAAGCAGAACACCCAAAAGCACUACAACGAAGUUUGACAAUGAAGCUAAUGAUCUUAAUUAGAUUAAGAAAGAUAAUUUUAUUCCACUCAUUGAGUGUAUAUGAAAUGAUGAGGGAGACACACACCCUCGUAGGUUUUGGUACCAUCUGGAUAGUCAGCGAGUAACCAUAAUCUACAAGGAUAUACAUCAAGAGUGGGAAUUUGGGAAUGGUUAAAUUUCAGAUGGCAUUUCAACAAAAGGACAAAUUUAUAUUGUCAAUUUCUUAUUAUUCCUCCAGAGUUUUCACAUUCUUAAAAGUUAAUUUUCUUUUAACUGAUCAGUUUACUAUUCAAAAGGCAGAGAACAGGACAAAAAUGUUGGGCAAAAUGCAUUCCUUCCACAACCAUUGUAAUUACAACAGUGGUGGCAUUAAAUCGGAUGCAGGCAGCAACAUCAAACCCAAGACUUGUUAUGCGAAUCCUUCUGGACCAA